GAUUUCUGGACAAUAGAAUUUGGCCGGCCACGGUUUCGUGUGUUAGUGCUUUGUUCUGUGUCCAUCCUUCCAAUCGCUAUUGGCUAUUCUUCAUUGAAUGGUCAGUGGUAUUGGAUCUUUUACUUUGAAAAAAUUAGAGUGUUUCAAGCAGGCUUUAUGCUAUGAAUACAUUAGCAUGGAAUAAUAAUUUAGGACUUCGGUUCUAUUUUGUUGGUUUCUAGGACUGAAGUAAUGAUUGAUAGGGAUAGUUGGGGGUGCUAGUAUUCAGCGGCCAGAGGUGAAAUUCUCGGAUUCGCUGAAGACUAACUUAUGCGAAAGCAUU
rnacentral:rRNA from 1 species